rnacentral:sRNA from 7 species
AUGUACCACUCGUGCACUACGGUUCUGAGCGCGCCGUCCGCGCCCACCUGACGACUGCUCGCUACGUUUUGUUAGCC